rfam:Felis catus isolate Cinnamon breed Abyssinian chromosome F1, whole genome shotgun sequence.
GCCUGGGUGGCUCAGUUGGUUGAGCAUCUGACUUUGGCUCAGGUCAUGAUCUCACGAUUUCUGGGUUCGAGCCCCACCUCAGGCU